rnacentral:rRNA from 1 species
AGAGCGAACGCUGGCGGCAGGCUUAACACAUGCAAGUCGAGCGGGCGUAGCAAGUACGGUCAGCGGCAGACGGGUGAGUAACGCGUGGGAACAUACCUUUUGGUUCGGAACAACACAGGGAAACUUGUGCUAAUACCGGAUAAGCCCUUACGGGGAAAGAUUUAUCGCCGAAAGAUUGGCCCGCGUCUGAUUAGCUAGUUGGUGAGGUAACGGCUCACCAAGGCGACGAUCAGUAGCUGGUCUGAGAGGAUGAUCAGCCACAUUGGGACUGAGACACGGCCCAAACUCCUACGGGAGGCAGCAGUGGGGAAUAUUGGACAAUGGGCGCAAGCCUGAUCCAGCCAUGCCGCGUGAGUGAUGAAGGCCCUAGGGUUGUAAAGCUCUUUUGUGCGGGAAGAUAAUGACGGUACGCAAGAAUAAGCCCCGGCUAACUUCGUGCCAGCAGCCGC